GGAGUUAGCCGGUGCUUCUUCUGUGAGUGAUGUCCUUCCUGCCGGCUAUUAACCCGCAGGCCUUCUUCCUCACUGAAAGUGCUUUACAACCCGAAGGCCUUCUUCACACACGCGGCAUGGCUGGAUCAGGGUUGCCCCCAUUGUCCAAUAUUCCCCACUGCUGCCUCCCGUAGGAGUCUGGGCCGUGUCUCAGUCCCAGUGUGGCUGAUCAUCCUCUCAGACCAGCUACGGAUCGUCGCCUUGGUGAGCCGUUACCUCACCAACCAGCUAAUCCGACAUAGGCUCAUCCGAUAGCGCGAGGCCCGAAGGUCCCCCGCUUUCCCCCGUAGGGCGUAUGCGGUAUUAGCCUGGGUUUCCCCAGGUUAUCCCCCACUACCGGGCAGAUUCCUAUGCAUUACUCACCCGUCCGCCGCUCGCCACCAGGGAGCAAGCUCCCCGUGCUGCCGCUCGACUUGCAUGUGUAGCNGCCGCCAGCGUCAUCUGAGCCAGAAUACAACUACUGA
rnacentral:rRNA from 1 species